CCACGCCAACCGCCGCACACCCGUAGGAAACUCUCCCCAUGAGCAUGCAAUGCAUCUUAACCAAAUCUGAAAAAUGUAACUAAAAUAAUUCAACUGAAAUAAAUGCAAUCUUAUUCCAUUGAUUGAUACAAAUUCUAAAGUCUCACAGUUCUAAAUACGCAACGGAACAAUAAAGAUAAAACAUCAAUUUAAAUAAAACCUAAUCUAAGAUAACUUGUGCCAUAAUUCUUUUAUUCGCUCUCCCAUAUUGUAAAACCCUGAAUCGAGCUAAUUCUUCGGAUCUGUAAAAACAGUAAAAAAUCAUAUAAUGAGCUAGACAGCCCAAUAAGUAAUAAAUACUUUGACUAGAAAAUUCAUAUAAUAACAUAAAAUAUAAAUACAAAUUACGAUGAAUCAGUAUAAAGACAUAAUCAAUUUCUUUUCAAACACAAAUCCAUUGAAAUGCAUAUCAUUCAGAUAUCCAUAUGCAUUAUCAUAAAUCUGAUUCGAAACAAAUUACAUUUAUCUCAUAAAUCUGAUUCGAAACAAAUCACAUUCAUCUCAACAACAUUUAACUAUGACCACACUUAUACCUUGUGGCUAGGCCAGAAACAGAACCGCACUUAUACCCUACGGAGUGGGCCAGAAUACCGUACUUAUAUCCUGGGGAGUGGGCCAGA
rnacentral:lncRNA from 1 species